UUUAUAACAAUUUAUUUUUUGGUUUAGUCUUAUAAAUUCAGUAUUCAACGGCUAAUAUAUAUAUAAUGUUUAUGUAUUUAAAAAUUAACCGCUAAAAUUUAUUAUUACACGACUAACAUAUUUAAUAACAUGUAACAAUUUAUUUAUUCAGUAUAUCUACUAAUUUAUAAUAGUUUAUUUUCGGUAUAGAUUUGUAAAUUCAUUGUUAGACGGCUAAUAUAUGUAUAAUAUUGUAUACCAAUUAAUUUUUCCAUGAUAUCAUAUCUGGAAUUAAUUCUAAUAUUUAUUUCAAUUUUAUGGACAUGUUUAUCAAAUACUCUUAAUAUGAGUUCUACCUCGCGGAGUUCAACUUUUUUGUUCCUCUUUUGUUCGAAGAUUCUUUGGGUCACUCGUUUAAGACGAUCAAUACGACUCAGUCUCAGAACUAGUUUGCGCACAAACCGAGCAAAGAUCCCGUGGCGUUUGUCCUGAAGAAAACUGUUUUUGUAUUACAUGAAAGUAAUUUCAGAAUUUAGUGAAUGUGUGUGUGUGUGUGUGAUCAACUGAUUAUAUAAACCAGUGAUUAUGUAGAUCAUUAUCUGGAACACAUCUUCUUCAAUUUUUUAGAUUCAUCAGAAAAAAAAAGAAAAAAAAACAGAGGAAGAAGAUGGGAAAGAAGGUGGGGGAAAAAGAAAACGAUAAUGAAAGAGAAAAUGAAAAUUUUAUUUACUUUUAGAAAUUGUACAAUUUUUACGGGAGGGUUCUAAAAGUAAUUGCACAUAUUAUUUAUCUACUGUAGUUCCUAAUUGAGUCUUAAUUAAGAGUCGUUCCUUAGAUAAUUAGCUAUUUUUUUUUAAUUCAUAAUUAUCCUAAGAACAUGAUUAUUGGGAGUUCUUAGAAUGAGAUUCUUACUGAAAUAUAAGAACCCGUCUCUUAACUUUUAACUAAAAAAAUUAAGAAACGGCUCUUAAAACUCUUAUUUAAGAACUAGUUCUUAUCUUUUUCAAUUAAAAGUUAAGAAACGAGUUCUUAUAUUACGAUAAUAAUCUCACCCUAAGAACCAUGCAAUAAUCAUGCUCUUGAACCAUACUUAAGAUACCCAAUAAACAUGCUCUUAAGCUAAUUACGAUUAAAAAAGAAGGAAAAAAAAAGGAAAAACACGAGAGGUGUCUCUUAAUUAAGAGAGCCAAGCUAUGUCUCUUAGGUGUGUUGUUGCUCCCCUCUCGUUUCUUCCUCUCCUGAUUGGUGUCUCUCUUGGACGAAAGAGCCACGUAUCUUGACGAGGAAGAAAAACGGCGUCUAUUCGAUCGUCUUUCAAAUUCAUCUCCGCAGAAUCCUUAACUCUUCGCAACGAUUCCAUUUCCAGAUCAGGGAGAAAGCCACUUGCUAGAUUCCCUUCCGGCGAUUGGGUGAUCUCAGAGAUGCCUGUUACACAGCAAGAUCUGAAGCUCGCCGUAUCAAAGGUUGGUGACUUUUCGGAUGAUAACCGAUCAAAGAUUAACAGAUCUUUGCAUCGUAUAAGCGCUAUACGUAACCGGAAACUCCAAAUAAUUGGUUUAACGUGUUGAGUGGGACGAGUUGUAUCGGGAAGUGCGGAGAUCAUAAGAGACUUGAUAGAAGGAGGAGGAUCCAUCUUGGUCAUAGGAUCUCCUGGAGUUGGCAAAACAACUUUAAUCAGAGAAAUCGCACGGAUGUUAGCUGAUGAGCACAGGAAACGCGUAGUGAUUGUUGACACGUCAAACGAGAUUGGUGGUGAUGGUGAUGUUCCUCACUCUGGUAUCGGCCGUGCCAGGCGGAUGCAAAUUCCAAAUGUGAAUCUACAGCACGAUGUUAUGAUUGAGGCGGUUGAGAAUCAUAUGCCUGAGACCAUCAUCAUUGAUGAGAGAGGAGUCCAGCUUGUGACUCCCAUUCCUUCAGAGACGAUGUUCCUCAUAAGCUAGUGACUCCCAUUCCUUUGGAGAAUCUUAAAGAGGAGCCUGCACCAUUGCUCAACAUAGAUUUUGCAAGUGAAGUGUUGUCUGACGACGAAAGAUGAAGACUUUCUUCCCACUCCGUAUUUGAAAGCCGGCAGUAACAUAUCAAAGAGCCAAAGAAGUUCACAUGUUCAUGUUUAUACUCGCAAUGUAAAUAGUCUAAUUUUUUUUUAAGAACCCUUAACUUAAGAAACUAUCAUUGGAUGACUAAAAUUAGGUGUUUCUUAACAUAAACUCUUAAUUUUAAUACUAAAAUAUUGAUUAAAAACCCACUUAGGGGUUACCCCAAUAAACAUGCUCUAAGCAAAUAUUUAUUUUUUUACCACUGAAGCACGGCCCUGGGUGUUUGUGGCUUCACUAUUUCAUAGACAUACCUAAUUUUUGUGCUACACAUCUCUUACACAAUCUAAUAUGAUGUUACUCUCCAUGUGUUUAAAUAAAAGACAUUAGACCACUUACAUUGGAGACUCUAAUAAGAGGUUCUAAAAAAAAAAACCAAAAAAUAAAUAAAUGAAAAAUGAGUUAAAAAGAGAGAACCGGUGCCUAAAUAUAACAUUUUUAGAACUGGUAAAGACUAGAGAUGGCAAUUGGGUCUUCCUGUCCCGUCCCGUCCCGCCCCGCCGCGGUCUUCAGUUCAAAUGGGUCUCAGCGGGACAGGCCCGCGCGGGAUGCGGUCUUGUCGAGGGCUGACCAAUCCCGCCCCGCAUAGUACAUGGGCUUUGCGGGUCGGCCCGCGGGACAUCGGUUCAUUAUACCUGCAUAAAUAAAACAACAUGAUCAGACAUAACUCACUUGCGUCUGGACACAGAAACAAACAUCAAAGUUUAUCAGACUGAGCAAUACGUGUUCACUAGAAUCACUACCUAUCAAACUAAGCAAUAACAAUUCAAGUUCUAUUAAACUAACCUCAUAUCUAAGCUCUUAAAAAUAAAACGUUUUUCUUACUUGUGGUUUCGUUUUAGUGAUCUUAAGCAUGCUCUCAUCUCCUAUGCUUUUGAAGCUGGGCUUGGAGACGGCAGUAUUGUUCAAAGAGUCCAUGGGAGCAGCUGUAGAGAAGAAAGAUAAGAGUAAAUGCAUUAUUAAUAGAUUUUUUGAACAUGGAUGCUGGAUAAUUAGGUACCUGUUGAGGAAGUGUGUUCUGUACUAAAACAAACAGAGCUUUGGAUAUAGUUCGGUGUAGUCUAUUGCUUAGCAUGUGAAUGAAAUGUCCAACAGUCAUGUCUCGUGGGACCAAGAACCUGCACAGGUCAAAACGUGAUUCAUUCAACUAGUGUAUUGAUAUAUAUUCACAUUUUGUUUAUGUUCUUCCCUCAGAAAAAGAAACACAAAUGAUUUCGUGCAAACUUACAAAGGAAUUCUUAACUAUAGCUUAUGACUACAAAGGACCUCAAAUGGUUUCGUGAACCACAAGUCACCUGCAACAAGAAGAGACCAAGAUAGAUUAGACCAUAACAUAAGUCAGACUCUUGAUACCAACAUGUUCAAGUUCUAACAGACUAACGAUUAGAUCAAAAUGAUAUCUUGAAUCUGCACAAAUUUCAUCAGUCUUCAAGGUUCUGCUGUGAAGCUGGUACUCCCCUGUACCAAACAAACCACUUUGGUGAAGAAUUGUGACUUAGAACUCCGCCACUUAGAGCCCACAACCUGAUGGAGCUCUGUUCUCGGUGAGAAAAGUGUAGCGGGCCUCAAUGUUUGCCCGCAUCCCGCUUCGGCCCGUCCCGCUUCGGCCCAGUACCGCCGCGGUCCUGUCCCGCCAGACCCGCAACUAAACGGGCCACAAUAUCUUUGCCCAAUCCCGCCCCGCAAUGGGCCUUUUCGGGUCAGGCCCGCGGGCAAGCCCUUGAACUGCCAUCUCUAGUAAAGACCCUAUACAUGUUUCUUUGUUAUUGGCUAAUGCCUUCUCUCUCUUCCUCUUCCUCUUCCUCUUCCUCUUAGUCGAUGUUUUUUUUUGGUUUGAGAAAGAGAUCUUCGUCGAUUUUGAUCGAGAAAUGAUCUCUUCUCCUUCUCUCUCCCUCACCGUCUCGUCUCAUCUCUCUCUAUCGUCCACCGGAAUCUACCUCUCUGUUGCCUUCACUCUCCGCUUUCACCCGGACCCGACCCGAUAGAAUCCGAGUAUCCACCGCCGAAGUGGCGGAGGAGGUAGAAGACGGUCCUGUCGAGCUUCCUCCGUCGGCCAUAUCUCCGUUCUCGUCAACUAACUCAAUAUUCGCCACUUCCGAUGACCUCACUCCUCUCCAGCUAGCCACCAGCGUAAUGCUCACCAGCGCCAUCACCACCUUCCUCUUCCGAUCGAUUCGACGGCGAGCUAAACACUCCAAAGAGAUGUUAAAGUUUUCAUCUUUCCUCUCGUUCUCAGUGAAUCCGAAUUGAAAGUUUUCGACUUGGUGUGAGAAUUGCAGACGUUUAGAUCGUCUGGAGUGAAGAAGUCGUUGAAAGAUGAAGCGGUGGAGAAACUGAAAGCAAUGGGGGUCGGCUCCGAUUGAAGAAGGUGGUGGUAAGUCGACGACACCAUCGGCGGCUCAGGCGUUUCUUGGUGCAGUUUCGGCAUGUGUCAUUGCUGUCAUUCUCUAUAAGUUCACUACUACCAUUGAAGCAGGACUCAAUCGUCAGACUAUUUCUGAUAAUUUCUCGGUAUCGUUCCUUCUUUUUUCUCUUGGUUCAUUCUCAUUGCUUGUGUCAAAGUUCAUGUUUAUGUCCGUCUUUGCUUUGCUUUGGUUGUUGGGGUUUAGCAAGUAAGGUUGACUUGUGAUCCAAGUAUUAUCAUUGUCUCUGUAUUAGUAAAUGCACAUAACUGAGAAGAGGUUAAAAAAAAAAGAAGUUGAUAAAGUAUCAUCAUGGUCUCUUUAUCUGUAAACGCCCACUCUUGAGAGAGAUAAUAGUAUGGAAUAAAGGCUCCAUAGGCCCAUGAUUUCUGAAUUCAGUGUGCAGCUAGCUAUAUUCAUUAUGUGAAGGGCCCUCUGUUUAUGAUCAUUGCUUGUGUACGUACAUGGAAGGUGAAUGCAUUAAGAGUCUGAGUUUCUGAGUUUCUGAGGAAAGUUUCUGAGUUUUAUCAAACUCUGUGUGAUUCUUCUCGGAAGAUAAUCGAUGCAGGAGAAACUAUGGAGGAAGUAGAGAAGAAGAUUCAACAAGUGGUGUUGGAUAAAGUUAAAGAGUGUGUUCAAGGAAAGUCUCUUUCUCUCCUCUGGUCAUCUUUUAUGAUUUUUAACCAAUCCACUCUUGUAGAAUGUUUGUGUUAUGGUGAUUAUACCAAGUUUGUGAUUUUCAAAGAACUAUUAUAUCAACUUAACAAGUAUUUUGCAAAAUCUAAUCA